AUAGUGCCACUGCACUCCAGCCUGGGUGACAGAGUGAGACCCUGUCUCCAAUAAAUAAAUAAAUAAAUAAAUAGUGGACAUUUUUAGGAUCUCGGCGGAACACAGUGAAUUGUAUAUUGUAGGGUUUUAUUAUAUAAAUCGGGACUCAAAUUCAAAUGCCUUCAGGGAUCAGGCAGUUUAUAUGAAUCAGAGAUGGCACUAGCAUAGGCAGUAGGAGCGGGGAGGAUUGUGGCAAACUGGAUCAUAGGAUGUCAUACCUAAAUACAUUCAAUUCCAAUGUCUGAAAACACACUGGUAGCCAAACCAAAGAUGCAGCCAGAAGUCACUAAGUUUAUGGUUUACGUUAUAAAUGUAAUUGACUAUGUUAUCUGAAAUCAGAAAAGAGAUAAAGGUAACUCAAUCACAGUACUGUAAAAUGAUUGCUAUCAACUGCUUGACGUAUUUCUUUUGACGGCUCUAGUUUUUUGUUCAUUGGUUUUUUGGUUAGCAUUGUUGUAGCUAUAUUUACUCAUCAGGUGUUUUUCAACAUUACUGUUUCAGGAUCUGCAGUCAAAUUUACCCAGAGGAUCCCAGGCUCUUAGGACUUGACAGGUCACCCACAGUAAAGCUAUCAUGUCAUGAGGACACUCAAGCAGCUCUGGGAGAGACCCCCUGUGGCUAGAAGCUGUGGAUUCUCACCAACAGCCAUGCAAGAUUCCCCAGCCCCAGUCGAGCCUUCAGAUGACCACAGCCCCAGCUGAUAUCUUGACUGCAAUAUCAUGAAAAACCAUGUGUCAGAACUGCUCAGACAUGUUGCUCCCAAAUUCUGGACCUGCAGAAACCAUGAAAGACAAUAAAUGAUUAUUGCUGUUUUAGGUCACUAUGUUUUGAGCUAACUUCUUACACAGCAAUAGAUACUAAUGCAUAUUUUAACCAGUUUCCUACAUUAAAACCUUUCUGUUGGAAAGA